GAUAGUCUUGAAUUCUGUGUAAUGGCAUCUUUGUACAAGUGAAAGUUCAACAAUUCUACUUUGGAAUUAUCUAAUGGUGAAGAAAUUCUCAGAUUCAAAGCACAGCAUGUCGCAAAAGGGCCUGAUCCUCAGCCUGAGGCUGAUGAAGAAAACACAUGGAACAGGGUCAUGACAGCCAGCCUACUAUCACGGCCUCUGUUUGGAGGGACUGUGUUCGCUGUGCUUUGUUGCAUCUUUAGUGUCCUGUGAGACGUGGCAUUUUAGAAAUAAUAGCAAG